rnacentral:rRNA from 1 species
AACGAACGCUGGCGGCAGGCCUAACACAUGCAAGUCGAGCGGAUCCUUCGGGAUUAGCGGCGGACGGGUGAGUAACGCGUGGGAAUAUGCCCUUCUCUACGGAAUAGCCUCGGGAAACUGGGAGUAAUACCGUAUACGCCCUACGGGGGAAAGAUUUAUCGGAGAAGGAUUAGCCCGCGUUGGAUUAGGUAGUUGGUGGGGUAAUGGCCUACCAAGCCUACGAUCCAUAGCUGGUUUGAGAGGAUGAUCAGCCACACUGGGACUGAGACACGGCCCAGACUCCUACGGGAGGCAGCAGUGGGGAAUCUUAGACAAUGGGGGAAACCCUGAUCUAGCCAUGCCGCGUGAGUGAUGAAGGCCUUAGGGUUGUAAAGCUCUUUCAGCUGGGAAGAUAAUGACGGUACCAGCAGAAGAAGCCCCGGCUAACUCCGUGCCAGCCGCCGCGUAA